rnacentral:tRNA from 1 species
ACUGCUGGCAUAAAUGGUUAGCACUCGGCUGCUAACUGAAAGGUUGGUGGUUCGAACCCACCCAGCAGCU